CUGGAGUAAUGUUUUUAGCCUGGGCACCCAUAUUUAGCUAUUGGGGCUUGAGUAGGGGCCUUGCUGAAGUUGCUCUUAAACACUCUCUAGGGAGUCUCUUUUAUCUAGUUACUCCCCUUAGAAUGAUAUCUACACACUUACCAUAGGUUAGAAGAAGACUGAAAAAAGAGUUCUCUCUAUAUCGCUUAAUUCUCUCUAUCUUGUCUUGUAAGAAUUGGG
rnacentral:lncRNA from 1 species